rnacentral:rRNA from 1 species
UUUGCCUACGGGGGGCAGCAGUGGGGAAUAUUGCACAAUGGGGGAAACCCUGAUGCAGCGACGCCGCGUGAGUGAAGAAGUAUUUCGGUAUGUAAAGCUCUAUCAGCAGGGAAGAUAAUGACGGUACCUGAGUAAGAAGCCCCGGCUAACUACGUGCCAGCAGCCGCGGUAAUACGUAGGGGGCAAGCGUUAUCCGGAAUGAUUGGGCGUAAAGGGUGCGUAGGCGGCCUGCUAAGUCUGGAGUGAAAGGUACCGGCUCAACCGGUACAGGCUCUGGAAACUGGCGGGCUAGAGAGCAG